AUGAGUGACUUCAGUUGUCAAAGGGAGCUAUUAAUCCCAUUAGUGUUUAAUGAAAACAAAUGUCCUGAAAGGAAAAGAAAAGGUAUGCACAGCUUUGAUUUUGUAGAGAAUUUAAUGAAGGAAAUAUCUAAAGGUAUGUUGUUAGGGAACCCAACAAAGGAUUUUGAAGCUUUCAGGUCCUAACAACAAGAAGCCAUUGCCAUUACUGGGCUUGAUAUAUUUACAGGAAAGACACCUAAGAGUAUAGCAUUAAUAGGAAUGAAUGGAUCUUAAGAGGUGUGCUUGUAGAGGGACAUAGCACCUGCCACAACUAUAGCAUUGAAGCAGAGAGGAAACAAAGGAAUUGAUUGCCUGAUUCCUUGUUUUCUUCCUAUAAUUCUGUCUCUUACCAGUGCCUCCCUUUGUCUGAACUCUAUCAGAAGGCUAAGUUUGCAGAAUAUAGUGGUCAGCCUUCUGAGAUUGAGAAAGGCAGAAAAUGGAUCUUGAGGUCAAACAGAAUAAGCAGCACACAAACUUUUGUCUUUAUUGAUCUAUAUUUGCAUAGUUUUUUUAUGUUGUUGAUUUAUCUCCUACAUUUAUUAAACUUAAACUGUUCUUAGAUUCAUUUCACACUUUUUUUCUAAUAUUUUGAGAUAGAUGCUUACCUAUUAAUGUUCAGUUUUUCUUCUUUUUAAUAUGAAACUAUCAUUUCCCUUUAGGUACUCCUUCAGCUGUAUCCAUAUUAUUUGAAUUUUGUUAUCAUUUAAUUCAAAAUAUUUUCUAAUUUUUAUUAAAACUUUUAUUUGAUUAAUUGGGUAUGUAGGAGUAUAUUUUUGAGUGUCCAAACAUAUGAAUAUUCUCUAUAAUUUUGUAAUUGAUGUUUAGCUUACAUAUAGUCAUAUGACAUAUAAUUUCAAUCCUUUAAAAUUCAUUCAGUUUUUUUAUGCCCACUAUAUUUGUCAAUAGAUGUUCUGAGUGUUUGAAAAGAAUGUGUUAUGAAUUUAUAAAUAAGUACUUCAUAUGUGACUAUUAGGUCAAGUUUUAAAAUUGAAUUGUUUAGAUUUUCUGUCUCCCUGAUGAUUAUUUGCCUUUUUUUCCCCUGUCAGUUAGUGUCUGAGUGCAUUUUCUGUUGCUAUACCAGAAUAUCCAAGACUGCAUAAUUUGUAAAGGAAGAAGAUUUAUUUAACUCACGAUUAUGGAGGUUGGUAGGUCCAAGAUUGGGCAGUUGCACAUUUUUGGCUUCUGGCGAGGGCUGCAUGCUGCAUAACAUGGUGGAGAAGUGGAAGGGAAAAGGGCAUGUAAAGAGAGAGGGAGCGAAGAGGCUGACGAGUUUAAUAACAACCUGCUGUCACAAGAACUCAUCCAGUCUCAAAAGAUUUAACCCAGUUUCGUGAAAAAGACAUUACUUCAUCUUAAUGAUCUAAUCCCCUCUUAAAGGCCCCCACCUCACAACCCUGUUGCAUUGGCAAUUAAAUUUCAACAGAAUGUUGGAAGGGACAAACCACAUUCAAACCACAGCAGUUCCUAAGAGGUGAGCAUAAACUUCUGCCACUAUGAUUGUGGAUUUGUCUAUUUGUCCUUAUUUUUGUCAGUCUGUUUAUUUUGAGGCCAUGUUAUUAAGUUUAUAUGAAUUCAAAACAGUAAUAUCUUAUUUGUGAAUUACAUCUUUUAAUCAUUAUGAAGGAUCCUUCUUAUCUCCAUGAUACUUUUAGCUGUAAAGUCUAAUUUGAUGUUAAUUUACUUAUAUCACCUUUAUUUUCCUC
ensembl:lncRNA